GUAUUCGGACGUUAAACAUAAGUUUGAGGAAGUUUAAGUAAUAGAACUGAGGUAAUGAUGUUUGUAACAAAACUCAGUGCUAGAUUUUCGACAUUGCAGCAAUUUCCAAAAAAAAACCGUCGAAAAAAAGUCACCAUGACGACGAAGCAAUGUUUAGAACUGAAUUUACAUAAAUAAACUGUUGCAAGCACGUGUUUUGUAUUUACAUAGGACUACACAGAUUUAAUUAAGAUAAAAUACCAUUACAGCAAGAGACGUCAGCGGUCUUGCUGCUUCCCUAGUAGAGGAUCGACGUCUAGUAAACAAUAAGUCGUUUCUACAGUUACAGUUACAAUGCUACAGUGGAAAUUAAAUUGGACCAUAACUUACUUUCGUUCCUCAAUCGGCAAUAUUCCACCAUCAGGCUUCUCCAGUGCCUUCUCGUCCGACGCGACGAUAAUCUGAUACCGGCCGCGGUUGAACUGAUCGACUGACAAACAGCGCACUGCUGCUGGCAGCUCAGAGUUGAGCACGCACGAUCCGAUCUUGAACUGUUCUAAGUAUAGUUUCAAUCUGAAAUCAUAAAUAUAAAUGAAAAAAUUAGAUCACAGAUGAAUACAUAACAGAAA